UGUAAGAGAGAAUACAUAUAUAGGAUGAGAUAAAAAGAAGAAGCAUGCUUGAACCAACAGAGAGUGGAUCCAAAUGUUGCUUUCCAGCUUUAUACAAACGUAUCACCCACAUUACUGCGACUGUUACAUAAAAUGAAGGAGAGAGAGAGAAAUAAUGUGUGAUGAUCAUCAUGAUAUAUCGAUGUCCAUGAUACAUUGAUGAUGAUGGCUCCGGU
rnacentral:lncRNA from 1 species